rnacentral:rRNA from 1 species
UACGUAGGGUGCAAGCGUUGUCCGGAAUUAUUGGGCGUAAAGAGCUCGUAGGCGGUCUGUCACGUCGGCUGUGAAAACCCGAGGCUCAACCUCGGGCCUGCAGUCGAUACGGGCAGACUAGAGUUCGGUAGGGGAGACUGGAAUUCCUGGUGUAGCGGUGAAAUGCGCAGAUAUCAGGAGGAACACCGGUGGCGAAGGCGGGUCUCUGGGCCGAUACUGACGCUGAGGAGCGAAAGCGUGGGGAGCGAACAGG